rnacentral:rRNA from 1 species
AAGAGUGAACUAGCUAACUGAAAUCACAUUUAAACUAUGUUGAUAAUGUGAUAACGUAAGGGAAAAAAAUGAUAUUACCUUACUACUAGUGUUGUCCAAAACUGGUGCCAGAAGACUCGGUAAAGCCAGAGACGCAAACGUUAGUCGUCCUAAUCAGGCGUAAAGGGUAUGUAGGCUGCUUUAAAUUUUUUUCUUUAAAUAGCUCUGUAUAAAUAUAAUAUUUAUUUUAAAUUUAAAAUUUAUAUAUAUAUUUCAUUUCAGUAAAUAAAAAAUCAAUUAAAGCUAGAAUCAAAUUGAGGAUAAACCAAAUAAUACUUAGUGUAGGGUUGAUAUCUAUAGAUACUAAGGGGAAUACUAAAGGUGAAAGCUUUUUAUCUAUUAAUGAUUGACGCUGAGAAACGAAGGUGAGAAUAGGAAAUAGGAUUAGAUACCCAGAUACCUCUCACUGUCAACGAUGAAUGGUGGUUGUUAGUUUUAAAAAAAACUGGUAACGAUGUUAACACGAUAACCAUUCCGCCUUGCGAGUACGGUUGCAAAACUGAAACCAAAAAAAUUAGUCGGUCUCGAAGCAAACGAA